ensembl:snoRNA
GUCCUUUUGUAGUUCAUAAGCGUGAUGACUUGGGCGUUAACGCAGUUGUGUGACAUGUGCCAUCCUUAAACCCUGUUAGACGCCUGCACAUUACCUGUCUGACA